UACAGUAGAGUUGAUCCUGGCUCACGAAGUCGUAACAUAGGUUAGCCGGUAGCAGUGUUCCUAACCUGCCCAGAAGCGGGGGACAACAUUUGGAAACAGAUGCUAAUACCGCAUAACAACGUUGUUCGCAUGAACAACGCUUAAAAGAUGGCUUCUGCGGUGCAUUAGCUUGUUGGUGGGGUAAUGGCCUACCAAGGCGAUGAUGCAUAGCCGAGUUGAGAGGACUGAUCGGCCACAAUGGGACUGAGACACGGCCCAUACUCCUACGGGAGGCAGCAGUAGGGAAUCUUCCACAAUGGGCGCAAGCCUGAUGGAGCAACACCGCGUGAGUGAAGAAGGGUUUCGGCUCGUAAAGCUCUGUUGUUAAAGAAGAACACGUAUGAGAGUAACUGUUCAUACGUUGACGGUAUUUAACCAGAAAGUCACGGCUAACUACGUGCCAGCAGCCGCGGUAAUACGUAGGUGGCAAGCGUUAUCCGGAUUUAUUGGGCGUAAAGAGAGUGCAGGCGGUUUUCUAAAUCUGAUGUGAAAGCCUUCGGCUUAACCGGAGAAGUGCAUCGGAAACUGGAUAACUUGAGUGCAGAACAGGGUAGUGGAACUCCAUGUGUAGCGGUGGAAUGCGUAGAUAUAUGGAAGAACACCAGUGGCGAAAGCGGCUACCUGGAGCUGCAACUGACGCAGAGACUCGAAAGCAUGGGUAGCGAACAGGAUUAGAUACCCUGGUAGUCCAUGCCGUAAACGAUGAGUGCUAGGUGUUGGAGGGUUUCCGCCCUUCAGUGCCGGAGCUAACGCAUUAAGCACUCCGCCUGGGGAGUACGACCGCAAGGUUGAAACUCAAAGGAAUUGACGGGGGCCCGCACAAGCGGUGGAGCAUGUGGUUUAAUUCGAAGCUACGCGAAGAACCUUACCAGGUCUUGACAUCUUGCGCCAACCCUAGAGAUAGGGCGUUUCCUUCGGGAACGCAAUGACAGGUGGUGCAUGGUCGUCGUCAGCUCGUGUCGUGAGAUGUUGGGUUAAGUCCCGCAACGAGCGCAACCCUUGUUACUAGUUGCCAGCAUUAAGUUGGGCACUCUAGUGAGACUGCCGGUGACAAACCGGAGGAAGGUGGGGACGACGUCAGAUCAUCAUGCCCCUUAUGACCUGGGCUACACACGUGCUACAAUGGACGGUACAACGAGUCGCGAACUCGCGAGGGCAAGCAAAUCUCUUAAAACCGUUCUCAGUUCGGACUGCAGGCUGCAACUCGCCUGCACGAAGUCGGAAUCGCUAGUAAUCGCGGAUCAGCAUGCCGCGGUGAACACGUUCCCGGUCGAGGUACACCCCGCCUCGUCGCAGUCGUAACAAGGUAACCGUAGAGUUUGAUCCUGGCUCACGGAAGUCGUAACAAGGUAACCGUAGAG
rnacentral:rRNA from 2 species